UCGGGGCCCUCGCUGGCCCAGGAUUGGCUAACCUGCUGGGCAGCAGCAGCUCCAGCAGUGUCCCUGCAGCCAGCAACUCCUCCACCAGCCCGUCCACAGCCGUCACCCCCACCUCCUCCUCAGCCUCCAGCCGCCUCGGCUCCGCCCAGGUUCCCACCACCCCCAUCACUCCCGUCACCCCCACCAACACCUCCGUCACCUUUACUAAAGCACAGAUCUGAGUACUUGUACCUUUGCUAAAGCACAGAUUGGAUCUGUCCAGCGUGCUCACCCCGGAGGUCAUGGCUCCCAUCCUGUCUCACCCCGAGGUGCAGCAGCGUCUCUCUCCCUUCCUCCCCUCCGGAGAGUCUCUCCCUCAGAGCAGCGAGGAGCUGAACAACACUCUCAGCUCGCCUCAGUUCCAGCAGGCGAUGAGUAUGUUCAGCAGUGUGCUGACCUUAGGUCUAUGAGGUGUGAUUUGUGCCAAAGAGCGAACUCACUGAGCAGACAAUCGUGUCGGUCG